CUUCCCCAAGAUACUGAAUAUAUAAUUCUUAAUCUUUUCCCCUUGCACCCUAAGCCACAGGUAAAGGAGCCACACAAGCCCCACCCUCUACCCUGGCCAAAAAGAAGAAAACAAAAAGUUGCAAAUGCAGUCGACAGACAAUUUAUCCAUACGAUAAAAUAUUGGAAAGACGGAUGAAUGGGGGGAAGGCAGCAGAGGUCAAAGUGCACUGGCUACCUUGCUCUUCCUGGUAAGUGAUGGCUGAUGUAAUUUAAUCCAUAGCUCCACACAGUCUUAGUGUUUUAAAACCUGGUCCCUUUCAGCCUUCAAAGUGAACUUUGAAGUGAAAGUGAAAGUGGGACUGAUAAUUGUUUUGGGCACAAGGAACUAUCUAAGCAUUCUCGGAUCCCUUUUAAAGUGAACUGAACUGAGACCGCAUGAGAACAUGUGCACACCAGCCUUCAAGUAGUCAUCUGGCUCAAG
ensembl:lncRNA